AUUGAACGCUGGCGGCAUGCCUUACACAUGCAAGUCGAACGGCAGCACGGGGCAACCUGGUGGCGAGUGGCGAACGGGUGAGUAAUGCAUCGGAACGUACCUUUCAGUGGGGGAUAACGUAGCGAAAGUUACGCUAAUACCGCAUAUUCUGUGAGCAGGAAAGCAGGGGAUCGCAAGACCUUGCGCUGAUUGAGCGGCCGAUGUCAGAUUAGCUAGUUGGUGAGGUAAAGGCUCACCAAGGCGACGAUCUGUAGCGGGUCUGAGAGGAUGAUCCGCCCAACUGGAACUGAGACACGGUACAGACUCCUACGGGAGGCAGCAGUGGGGAAUUUUGGACAAUGGGGGCAACCCUGAUCCAGCCAUGCCGCGUGAGUGAAGAAGGCCUUCGGGUUGUAAAGCUCUUUCGGCCGGGAAGAAAUCGCACGGGCUAAUACCCUGUGUGGAUGACGGUACCGGAAUAAGAAGCACCGGCUAACUACGUGCCAGCAGCCGCAGUAACAC
rnacentral:rRNA from 1 species